UACGUAGGGGGCAAGCGUUGUCCGGAUUUAUUGGGCGUAAAGAGCGUGUAGGCGGCCUGGAAGGUCCGUUGUGAAAACUCGAGGCUUAACCUCGAGACGUCGAUGGAAACCACCAGGCUAGAGUCCGGAAGAGGAGAGUGGAAUUCCCGGUGUAGCGGUGAAAUGCGCAGAUAUCGGGAAGAACACCCGUGGCGAAGGCGGCUCUCUGGGACGGUACUGACGCUGAGACGCGAAAGCGUGGGGAGCGAUCCGG
rnacentral:rRNA from 1 species